UCGAGAAUCUUCCGCAAUGGGCGAAAGCCUGACGGAGCGACGCCGCGUGCGGGAUGAAGGCCUUCGGGUUGUAAACCGCUGUCAGUGGGGAGGAAAUGCACGGGGGUUCUCCCUUGUGUUUGACCGAUCCGCAGAGGAAGCACAGGCUAAGUUCGUGCCAGCAGCCGCGGUAACACGAACUGUGCAAACGUUAUUCGGAAUUACUGGGCUUAAAGAGUUCGUAGGCGGCUUGUUAAGUCGGGUGUGAAAUCCCUCGUCUCAACCGAGGAAUUGCGUUCGAAACUGGCAGGCUUGAGUGAGAUAGAGGUGAGCGGAACUGAUGGUGGAGCGGUGAAAUGCGUUGAUAUCAUCAGGAACACCGGUUGCGAAGGCGGCUCACUGGGUCUUUACUGACGCUGAGGAACGAAAGCUAGGGGAGCGAACG
rnacentral:rRNA from 1 species